CUUUUAAAAUUAAAAAUAUUUUACGAAAUAAAUAAAAAACAAUGGACAUAAAGAAAAUAUGUUAAUAAAAAUCAAUUAGAAUAUGGCAAUGGAAAUAACGUCAGAGCAACGUUAUUUUUGAGGUGAAUGGAGAAAAUACGCCUUUUACCCACAACUUGCUGUUAUCUCUACCGACACGGCGAGUAUGAUUAUUUACGAUUCAAGAAGAGCGUACGAUCAAGUGGAAAACGGAAAAAGAAGAAAAAAGGGAAGACUAAGAGCAACGGAAUAAAU